rnacentral:rRNA from 1 species
UACGUAGGGUGCGAGCGUUAAUCGGAAUUACUGGGCGUAAAGGGUGCGCAGGCGGUUAUGUAAGUCUGACGUGAAAUCCCUGGGCUUAACCCGGGAAUGGCGUUGGAGACUGUAUAGCUAGAGUGUGUCAGAGGGGGGUAGAAUUCCACGUGUAGCAGUGAAAUGCGUAGAGAUGUGGAGGAACACCGAUGGCGAAGGCAGCCCCCUGGGAUAACACUGACGCUCAGGCACGAAAGCGUGGGGAGCAAACAGG